rnacentral:rRNA from 1 species
CCUACGGGAGGCAGCAGUGGGGAAUUUUGGACAAUGGGCGAAAGCCUGAUCCAGCAAUGCCGCGUGCAGGAAGAAGGCCUUCGGGUUGUAAACUGCUUUUGUACGGAACGAAACGGUCUUUUUUAAUAAAGAAGGCUAAUGACGGUACCGUAAGAAUAAGCACCGGCUAACUACGUGCCAGCAGCCGCGGUAAUACGUAGGGUGCGAGCGUUAAUCGGAAUUACUGGGCGUAAAGCGCGCGCAGGCGGUUAUAUAAGACAGUUGUGAAAUCCCCGGGCUCAACCUGGGAAUUGCAUCUGUGACUGUAUAGCUAGAGUACGGUAGAGGGGGUUGGAAUUCCGCGUGUAGCAGUGAAAUGCGUAGAUAUGCGGAGGAACACCGAUGGCGAAGGCAAUCCCCUGGACCUGUACUGACGCUCAUGCACGAAAGCGUGGGGAGCAAACAGGAUUAGAUACCCUGGUAGUCCACGCCCUAAACGAUGUCAACUGGUUGUUGGGUGCAUUAGUACUCAGUAACGAAGCUAACGCGUGAAGUUGACCGCCUGGGGAGUACGGCCGCAAGGUUGAAACUCAAAUGAAUUGACGG